GGGGGACCACCAGUGGCGAAAGCGUCUAGCUAGAACGGGUCUGACGGUGAGGGACGAAACCCUGGGGCGCGAACCGGAUUAGAUACCCGGGUAGUCCAGGGCGCAAACGCUGCUUGCUUGAUGUUAGUUGGGCUCCGAGCUCGACUAGUGUCGGAGAGAAGUUGUUAAGCAAGCUGCCUGGGAAGUACGAUCGCAAGAUUGAAACUUAAAGGAAUUGGCGGGGGAGCACAGCAACGGGAGGAGCGUGCGGUUUAAUUGGAUUCAACGCCGGAAAACUCACCGGAGGCGACGGUUACAUGAAGGCCAGGCUGAUGACCUUGCCUGAUUUUCCGAGAGGUGGUGCAUGGCCGCCGUCAGUUCGUACCGUAAGGCGUUCUGUUAAGUCAGAUAACGAACGAGACCCUCAUCCUUAAUUGCUACUAAUGACUUCGGUUGUUAGGCACAUUAAGGAGACCGCUGACGAUAAGUCAGAGGAAGGCGAGGGCAACGGUAGGUCAGUAUGCCCUGAAUCCUCCGGGCUACACGCGCGCUACAAAGGCCAGGACAAUGGGUUUCGACACCGAAAGGUGGAGGUAAUCCCGAAACCUGGUCAUAGUUCGGAUUGAGGGCUGAAACUCGCCCUCAUGAAGCUGGAUUCCGUAGUAAUCGCGGAUCAACA
rnacentral:rRNA from 1 species